UCACUAAGCGGAGGAAAAGAAACCAACAGGGAUUGCCCUAGUAACGGCGAGUGAAGCGGCAACAGCUCAAAUUUGAAAUCUGGCGCUUGCGCCCGAGUUGUAAUUUGCAGAGGAUGCUUCUUGCGCGGUGCCUUCCGAGUUCCCUGGAACGGGACGCCAUAGAGGGUGAGAGCCCCGUACGGUCGGUAACUAAGCUAUUGUGUAGCACCUUCGACGAGUCGAGUAGUUUGGGAAUNCUGCUCUAAAUGGGAGGUAAACUCCUUCUAAAGCUAAAUAUUGGCCAGAGACCGAUAGCGCACAAGUAGAGUGAUCGAAAGAUGAAAAGCACUUUGAAAAGAGAGUCAAAUAGCACGUGAAAUUGUUGAAAGGGAAGCGCUUGUGACCAGACUUGGGCCUGGUAGUUCAGCCGUCCUUCUGGGCGGUGCAUUCUGCCGGUUCAGGCCAGCAUCAGUUGUCGGUUGGGGAGAAAGAUGGCGGGAACGUGGCUCUUCGGAGUGUUAUAGCCCGCCAUUAUGCCCUCCUGGCGACUGAGGUUAGCGUUCUGCACGGAUGCUGGCGUAAUGGUCAUCAGCGACCCGUCUUGAAACACGGACCAAGGAGUCAUCCUAAUAUGCGAGUGUUUGGGUGUCAAACCCCUACGCGAAAUGAAAGUGAACGGAGAUGAGAGCUUCGGCGCAUCAUUGACCGAUCCUGAUGUUCUCGGAUGGAUUUGAGUAAGAGCAUAUUGGGCUGGACCCGAAAGAAGGUGAACUAUGCUUGGAUAGGGCAAAGCCAGAGGAAACUCUGGUGGAGGCUCGCAGCGGUUCUGACGUGCAAAUCGAUCGUCAAAUCUGAGCAUGGGGGCGAAAGACUAAUCGAACCUUCUAUACUGUNUCC
rnacentral:rRNA from 1 species